UACGGAGGGGGCUAGCGUUGUUCGGAAUUACUGGGCGUAAAGCGCACGUAGGCGGCUUUGCAAGUUAGAGGUGAAAGCCCGGGGCUCAACUCCGGAAUUGCCUUUAAAACUGCAUCGCUAGAAUUGUGGAGAGGUAAGUGGAAUUCCGAGUGUAGAGGUGAAAUUCGUAGAUAUCGGGAGGAACACCGGUGGCGAAGGCGGCGAUCUGGGUCGAUACUGACGCUGAGGUGCGAAAGCGUGGGGAGCAAACGGG
rnacentral:rRNA from 1 species